GGGUGUGAGGGCGAUCUGGCUGCGACAUCUGUCACCCCAUUGAUCGCCAGGGUUGAUUCAGCUGAUCUGGCUGGAUAGGCGGGUGUCCCCUUCCUCCCUCACCGCUCCAUGUGCAUCCCUCCUGAAGCUGCGCGCUCGGUCGAAGAGGACGGCCUUCCCCGAAUAGAGAUGGACUGGUCUUCAGUCGAGGGUAUACGAGUAGCUGCGCUCCCCUGCUAGAACCUCCAAACAAGCUCUCAAGAGGGAAGGUAUAGAUAAAGAUGGAGAGAGACAGAAAGACACCAGCAGCCCUGCUUCGUCACUCACAAAGCUUUCCCCCUGCAGGUGGGGACCAGGGUU
rnacentral:snRNA from 1 species